rnacentral:lncRNA from 1 species
CCGUGCGCACUUACUCGCACUAAAUCGAAUCGGCCUGACGAUCGCGGACCUCACAUUGGUGUCAGAAGUGGGGUAGUGAAAAGGAAAAAUCGAGGAUCCGAGUGAGAUUGUUUCUUGUGGAGUUCGUGGAAUCAGGUAGAUAUAAGGUAUAUAGGAUUGUCUGUUUUAACUUUUUCCGGUAAUUUUUCAUUUCCACGAUGGCGCAUCACGAAGGGGAUGGGUCAGAAGGAAGAACAGGAACAAUGAAAUCAUUCGCUCCAUUAGGAUUAGUGUUACCUAGCUUCGAUGGAGAACUAGGAUCUAAGGUGCGUACUUUCUUUGAGCAGCUAGAAGAGGUGGCUGAUCUCCACCAAUGGACUACGGCUGAACGAUUGCGAGUAGCCCGAUGUAAACUCACCGGGAUAGCUAGAGAGUUCGCUUAUAGGAGU